AGACUUGGUUCUAUUUCAUGGAUCCAUCAGACAGGUGUGGUAUGGAUAAAGAUCCUAUCCUCUGGGGUCAAGUCCUGGAUAUGGACCAUAGAAGAUUACAUUUUUAUUUUCUUGAUAUUACUAGCCAUGUAACUGCUAAACAGAAAACUGUUUUGGGGAAAUCAAGAUCCUAUUCGCCCUGUUUCCCAGGGUGCUUUGAAGGCUCAGCUGACCAAAAGACUUGAGAACCUUGCCCAGCCCAAGGAAGUUUCCUGCCACUAUGUACCUAACAGGGCUCAAUACUACCACAGCUGGGGAAGAGAGUCUGUAAUUUGGGAGAUCACUCCUCCUGCGUUGUUUAGACAACCCUCCAAAAGGAUCCAGAGGCUGUCACAGCCCAAUGGAUUCAAAAGACAGUGUCUACUAAAUAGACCCUUCAGUGAUAACUCAGCAAGAGAUUCUCUUCGAAUCUCUGAUCCUUCUCCCCGGAUAUUACAACUCUCAGUAGCCAAAGGCACAGACCCAAACUAUCAUCCUUCAAAAAAAAUGCAAACCAAGAUUUCACUUUCUACCCUGAGUGCGAUUGCAACUC
rnacentral:sRNA from 1 species